rnacentral:piRNA from 1 species
UGUUGGUACUUGGUGUUAUGCAGCUGCC